UACGAUGGGUUGGCCUACUUCGACCAGGUGGUGCGUGGCAACCUCAGCCACGGUGAGCUCCGCCGCAUGGAGGGCCUCUCCCAAAAGGAACUCUUCCUCUGGUUACCGGUCAAGGGCGUCCUUGUCGCCGAUCCCUCCGCCGGCGUCAUCCUCUUCGACAUCGGUCUGGCUCACAAGCAGCUCUCCCUCUCCCUCUUCGAGACUCCACCUGAGUGCCGGCCUGUCAACAAUGAAG
rnacentral:misc_RNA from 1 species